UACGUAGGGUGCAAGCGUUGUCCGGAAUUACUGGGCGUAAAGAGUUCGUAGGCGGUUUGUCGCGUCGUUUGUGAAAACCAGCAGCUCAACUGCUGGCUUGCAGGCGAUACGGGCAGACUUGAGUACUGCAGGGGAGACUGGAAUUCCUGGUGUAGCGGUGAAAUGCGCAGAUAUGUGGAGGAACACCGAUGGCGAAGGCAGCCCC
rnacentral:rRNA from 1 species